UUGGCACUAGGAGCCGAUGAAGGACGGGACUAACACCGAUAUGCUUUGGGGAGCUGUACGUAAGCUAUGAUCCAGAGAUUUCCGAAUGGGGGAACCCAGCAUCUUUUAUAGGAUGUUACGUUUGCGUGAAUACAUAGCGCAUUCGAGGUAGACGCAGAGAACUGAAACAUCUAAGUACCUGCAGGAAGAGAAAGAAAAUUCGAUUCCCUGAGUAGCGGCGAGCGAAACGGGAAAAGCCCAAACCAAUGAGCUUGCUCAUUGGGGUUGUAGGACUCCAAUAUGGUAGUUCUUUCAGAUAGUCGAAUGACUUGGAAAAGUCAGUCAAAGAGGGUAAAAACCCCGUAGAUGAAAUUUGGAAGGCACCUAGGAGGAUCCUGAGUACGGCGGAACACGAGGAAUUCCGUCGGAAUCCGGGAGGACCAUCUCCCAAGGCUAAAUACUCCCUAGUGACCGAUAGUGAACCAGUACCGUGAGGGAAAGGUGAAAAGCACCCCGGAAGGGGAGUGAAAUAGAACCUGAAACCGUGUGCCUACAACAAGUCAAAGCCCGUUAAUGGGUGAUGGCGUGCCUUUUGUAGAAUGAACCGGCGAGUUACGAUUGCAUGCGAGGUUAAGUUGAAGAGACGGAGCCGCAGCGAAAGCGAGUCUGAAUAGGGCGUUUGAGUAUGUAGUCGUAGACCCGAAACCAUGUGAUCUACCCAUGUCCAGGUUGAAGGUGCGGUAAAACGCACUGGAGGACCGAACCCACGUACGUUGAAAAGUGCGGGGAUGAGGUGUGGGUAGCGGAGAAAUUCCAAACGAACUUGGAGAUAGCUGGUUCUCUCCGAAAUAGCUUUAGGGCUAGCCUCGGAAUUGAGAAUGAUGGAGGUAGAGCACUGUUUGGACUAGGGGCCCAUCUCGGGUUACCGAAUUCAGAUAAACUCCGAAUGCCAUUCAUUCAUAUCCGGGAGUCAGACUGUGAGUGAUAAGAUCCAUAGUCGAAAGGGAAACAGCCCAGACCACCAGCUAAGGUCCCAAAAUAUAUGUUAAGUGGAAAAGGAUGUGGGGUUGCACAGACAACUAGGAUGUUGGCUUAGAAGCAGCCACCAUUUAAAGAGUGCGUAAUAGCUCACUAGUCGAGUGACCCUGCGCCGAAAAUGUACCGGGGCUAAACAUAUUACCGAAGCUGUGGAGUACACCUUUAGGUGUAUUGGUAGGAGA
rnacentral:rRNA from 1 species